CCAAGCCAAAGCAGUAUUUUGGUUAAAGCUACAAGACAUGUGGGUCUGAGAUUUUUCAUUCACACCCGUCUUUCUCUACCUCUCAUUCAACAGCGUUGCAGUAUGGGCUCACUAUGGAGCGAGUCCUUUAAUCAGUGCUAGAGAUGUGUCACUGAGGAAAUCAGAUACUUCUAUGGCCUUACAGAGGUCACAGUGAGACACAGCCACGGAGUUGGGGAAACAAGUCUCCAUCAUGGAAGAUUAACUUACAGCAGUGUAAUUGUGUGCUUACAUCUCAGCACUGGGAACAUAGACAGAAAAUGGCAACAGCUCGUCUUGAGGUCCGCACAGUUUUAUGGAGAAGGCAAGAUGCUGAGUACUGAAGAAGCUGUCCUGAAAACCAAAG
rnacentral:lncRNA from 1 species